rnacentral:lncRNA from 1 species
GCACACUGCAGCCACAGCUCCAGGUACAAAGUGGCACCAGGAGGGACCAGCCACUGUGCUUUGCACCCAGCCUCACUGCACCUUCUGGUGCAUCUGGAAGGUCCUGAAGGAGGAGUUCCAGGGCCCCGGCUGCCAUGGGCCCUGAAGGAAUAGUUCGGUGCUGGAGCUGGGCAUGGGAAUAGAGCCAAGCAUUUGAGAGGCAGGGACCAGGCAGAUGUCAGAAACAAGAACCAGCAGACGUCCAAAGAAGGCAUCUGUCUGAAGGCCAGGAUGCAAGAUACAGUAAGUAGGCUGCCAGCUGCAAGCCAGGAAGAGGGCCCUCACCAGAAGCCAACUAUGAUGGCACCCUGAUCUUGGACUUCCCAGUCUUCAGAACUGUGAGAAAUAAAUGUCUGUGGUUUAAGCCACCCAGUCUCUGGUAUUUUGUUAUAGCAAUGCCCACAGACUAAGGCAUAUGUCCAGCCUCAGGCACGGCUGGCUAGAGGGAUCAAAGCUGUCCUUAUCACCUUGUUAAUCUGUCCCCGUAUCUCAGCUCUGCUUACUCACCCAAGGCUCCAUUGUCAAGAAAAGCUCAUGUCCCAGUGCAACCCAAGCAGCUCCAGCUUACAUUGCCUCAGGUUUAAGUUGGAAGGACAGCCUACUUUGAGGUCUCUCCUCCCAGCAGAAUCUCAUUGCAUCUCACUGAGCCUGUCAGGGCCACAUGCCCACUCCUGAACCGAGCUCUGUAGCCAGGGAAAGUGAUGUGCUGAUUGCCUUAGGCCUAGGCCACAGGCUUCACCCCUGAGCCUGUGGGUGGAGCAUCACUCAAAGAACCCAGAAUAAGGUGAGGCCACCAGCUCAUCAAAGGACAUGGCGAGGGUGCUGAAGACACAAAGAACACAGCCUACCAAGCAGCUUAACAGAGGCUGGGUGGGAGCCAGGCCAGAUCUCAAAAAGAAACCCUCAGGACCAAGAAAAGAGUGAUACAGCAAAUAAACAGAUCAACACUAGAAAGUAAAUAGAUCAACAUCG